GACGGUUUGGCCGAGUGGUCUAAGGCGCCAGAUUUAGGCUCUGGUCUGAAAGGGCGUGGGUUCAAAUCCCACAGCCGUCA
rnacentral:tRNA from 1 species